GCAGGAAGUCCGGUGUUGGUGAUGGCUCUGCUGCUGGAAGGCCUGUAGUUGGGGUCUCCGGCCAGGUUCUGCUCGGCCCUUUCCUCAGAGCGGUUCUGUUCCCGGCCCGGCCCGGCCCUCUCAGAGUGAGGCUGUCCCGGCGACUCUGCUCGCCGCCAUGCACGACGCCUUCGAGCCGGUGCCGAUCCUAGAAAAGCUGCCUCUGCAGAUCGACUGUCUGGCUGCCUGGGAGGAAUGGCUUCUUGUUGGAACCAAACAAGGACAUCUUCUCCUCUACAGGAUUCGGAAGGAUGUUGGCUGCAACAGGUUUGAAGUGACACUAGAGAAAUCCAAUAAGAAUUUCUCCAAAAAGAUUCAGCAGAUCCAUGUGGUUUCCCAGUUUAAGAUUCUAGUCAGCUUGUUAGAAAAUAAUAUUUAUGUCCAUGACCUAUUGACAUUUCAACAAAUCACUACGGUUUCAAAAGCAAAGGGAGCAUCGCUGUUCACAUGUGACCUCCAGCACAUAGAGACUGGUGAGGAGGUGUUGCGGAUGUGUGUAGCUGUGAAAAAGAAGCUGCAGCUCUAUUUCUGGAAGGACAGGGAAUUUCAUGAAUUGCAGGGGGACUUUAGUGUACCAGACGUGCCCAAGUCCAUGGCAUGGUGUGAAAAUUCUAUCUGUGUGGGUUUCAAGAGAGACUACUACCUCAUAAGGGUGGAUGGAAAGGGGUCCAUCAAAGAGCUCUUCCCAACAGGAAAGCAGCUGGAGCCCUUAGUUGCCCCUCUGGCAGAUAGGAAAGUGGCCGUGGGUCAGGAUGAUCUCACCGUGGUGCUCAAUGAGGAGGGGAUCUGCACACAGAAAUGCGCCCUGAACUGGACGGACAUACCAGUGGCCAUGGAGCACCAGCCUCCCUACAUCAUUGCAGUGUUGCCUCGAUAUGUGGAGAUCCGAACACUCGAGCCAAGGCUCCUGGUCCAGAGCAUUGAAUUGCAAAGGCCCCGUUUCAUCACUUCAGGAGGAUCAAACAUUAUCUAUGUGGCCAGCAAUCAUUUUGUUUGGAGACUUAUUCCUGUCCCCAUGGCAACUCAGAUCCAACAGCUGCUCCAGGACAAACAGUUUGAAUUGGCUUUGCAGCUUGCAGAAAUGAAAGAUGAUUCUGACAGUGAGAAGCAACAGCAGAUCCAUCACAUCAAAAACUUGUAUGCCUUCAACCUCUUCUGCCAGAAGCGUUUUGAUGAGUCCAUGCAGGUCUUUGCUAAGCUCGGCACAGAUCCUACCCAUGUGAUGGGCCUGUACCCGGACCUGCUGCCCACAGACUACAGGAAGCAGCUGCAGUAUCCUAACCCCCUGCCUGUGCUCUCCGGGGCUGAAUUGGAGAAGGCUCACUUAGCUCUGAUUGACUACCUGACACAGAAACGGAGCCAGUUGGUAAAGAAGCUGAAUGACUCUGAUCACCAGUCUAGCACUUCCCCGCUCAUGGAAGGCACUCCCACCAUCAAAUCCAAGAAGAAGCUGCUGCAGAUCAUCGACACCACCCUGCUCAAGUGCUACCUCCAUACCAACGUGGCCCUGGUGGCCCCCCUGCUGCGCCUGGAGAACAAUCACUGCCACAUCGAAGAGAGCGAGCACGUGCUGAAGAAGGCUCACAAGUACAGUGAGCUCAUCAUCCUGUACGAGAAGAAGGGGCUCCAUGAGAAAGCCCUGCAGGUGCUGGUGGACCAGUCCAAGAAAGCAAACUCGCCGCUGAAAGGCCACGAGAGGACGGUGCAGUAUCUGCAACAUCUGGGCACAGAAAACCUGCAUUUGAUUUUUUCCUACUCGGUGUGGGUGCUGAGAGACUUCCCAGAGGAUGGCCUGAAGAUAUUCACCGAAGACCUCCCGGAGGUGGAGUCUCUGCCCCGGGACCGAGUGCUCGGCUUCCUGGUAGAGAAUUUUAAGGGCCUGGCUAUUCCUUAUCUGGAGCACGUCAUCCACGUCUGGGAGGAGACGGGCUCCAGGUUCCACAACUGCCUGAUCCAGCUGUACUGUGAGAAGGUGCAAGGUCUGAUGAAGGAGUACCUCCUGGCCUUCCCUGCAGGCCAAACUCCAGUUCCUGCUGGAGAGGAAGAGGGUGAGCUGGGAGAAUAUCGACGGAAGCUCCUUAUGUUCUUGGAAAUUUCCAGCUACUACGACCCGGGCCGGCUCAUCUGUGAUUUUCCUUUUGAUGGCCUCUUAGAAGAACGUGCUCUCCUGCUGGGGCGCAUGGGGAAACAUGAACAAGCUCUCUUCAUCUAUGUCCACAUCCUGAAGGACACAAAGAUGGCUGAGGAGUACUGCCACAAGCAUUAUGACCAAAACAAAGAUGGCAACAAAGAUGUGUAUCUGUCCCUGCUCCGGAUGUACCUGUCGCCCCCCAGCGUUCACUGUCUGGGGCCCAUCAAGCUGGAACUGCUGGAGCCCCAAGCCAACCUCCAGGCUGCCCUGCAGGUCCUCGAGCUGCACCACAGCAAACUGGACACCACCAAGGCCCUCAACCUCCUGCCAGCGAAUACUCAGAUUAACGAGAUACGCAUCUUCCUGGAAAAGGUCUUGGAAGGAAAUGCGCAAAAGAAACGGUUCAAUCAAGUGCUCAAGAACCUUCUCCAUGCAGAGUUCCUGCGGGUACAGGAAGAGCGGAUUUUACACCAGCAGGUGAAGUGCAUCAUCACGGAGGAGAAGGUGUGCAUGGUGUGUAAGAAGAAGAUUGGGAACAGGUGAGCCUGCUCGCACCUCUGCAGGGUCUGCUCUGGGUGGGCCACACUCUGCCCUCUAACCCGAGGGGAGAGCGAGGGGACAGUCCUCACUGUCAGGAGUGAGCUUUGAGGAUUUAAAAGCCUGGAAUGUAUGGCUGGGGCUGUUGACUUCUUGCCCAUAAAGUCCCUCCCUUCUGGCAGCUAGAAAUUGUGAUGUAGCCAGUGGGUGUGAGAGUUGUAUAUGGGGAGGGGGUCCUUAUCUUUUAGGGAUGCACCUUUGAAGGAAGAAAAAGAUCUUUCAACCUGCUGCCUCAGGAUUUGAGUAAAAUCCUGAGCCAGGAUAUACUGUUUUAAGGCAUAUACUCUAGUCGAUCCCCUUUCCCUCAAAGGAGAGUAAUUUUCCUUUUUCUUACAUGGGAGAAUUCUUUUCUUUAAAAAGACCUAACUCUGUCCUUUGUUAGAAUUAGCCCGAGACUUGUUCUGAAGAGCAUCGUUGCCUCUCAGUAAGCCGGUGCCAAGCCAGGCCGGCGCACGGCCCUAUUCAGUCGUGUUUCACGUUGAUGACUUAACAAGAACCUUCAUGUACUCGAACUCCAUGGACCUCAUCCUCUGUUUAGUUAUUGGACAGAGAUGAUGGCUAUGUAAAUCCAGAGACACUGGGACAGGCUGCUCUUUGUGGUGAGGGCGGGCUGCUGGGAUGGCUCCCGGGUAAGUGCCUGUCCUAGGUAAGAAGCGGCCUCUAUAGGCAGUCACUCCCAAGUCAUUUGUCUUCC